rnacentral:lncRNA from 1 species
GGCGGUGGCCGCACACCCCCACAUCUCAUCCGCCCCUGGUGGGCAGCCUCCCCAAGGGAUUGAUUCCUUCCUCAGCAACAGUUGCUCAGAGUUGAGCACAGGAACUUGCCUUUUUCCAAGUAGCAGACACAGGCCGAGGCACAGAGUGGGGCUGAGGAAAUGUGCCGUGAAUGGAUGGUGAACAGGAAGGGACACUGAAGAAGGAGGCGGUACUGAGAGCAGCCAUCUUGGAGCUUGGAAACGGAGACGCAUGUGAAGCCGUUUGCACAGUAUUUUUCCCUUAAAAUAUGGGUGGGGAACAAGGGGCUGUCAUUUGUCUUUUUCUUUGGGAUGGUGAGCAGUGAGCAGGGCACGCCGCGAGGAGCAAACUGCAGCCCAAGCACACGCGGUCAGCACGCGGAGCACAGGACAAUCAUGCUGGCUGUUAGUGAAGAAUGGCCUGGAGCACUGGGUCUCCGCCCCAGCUGCCUGGGAGAAACUGUGUUGAAGGAGCCAUACCCCCUGGCCUCCCCUCCAGACUCCAGACAACCCCAGUCAGCUGGCUGGGAGGGAGGCAGAAGAGAAACAGGGGUGCACCUGGGGCUCCUGCAGGGGUCCAGCCAGGAGAUGGGGGCAACUUGGACAGGGACGAUCCUGGGAAGGGCAGGAGGAGGAGUGAGACCUGGCCUGCCCUCUCCCUAGAGGCUCAUCAGCUCCCUGGAGACAGACACGCCCUGGUUCCUUUCCCUAUGCCUGGAGCCUGGGUACCAGCUAUUGAAAACUGCUUUUCUCCUUGUUCAUUCAAACAUAUUCACACAUAAAGGUUGUCAUUCCUUUUUGUCACUAUUUGACAAAAAUUGGAUCAUACCGUAUACAAUUCUCUGCUAUUUGUUUUGCUCACCUAACAAUAAAU